GGGGAAGGCAGGGGAGGCUGGCGUCUCACCGGGGACUGAGCACUUCCUAGUCCUACCCAUCAAAGCUGUGGGCUUUGAGAAUGGGGUCCUUUCUGUGGAACUGAGUCAGAGAUCCCUCCAACUCCACCUCCAACUCAGAGACAUCUGAGUGGCAAAGUCAAUCCGAAAAGCAGUGAAAGACAAAGGCCCAGAGUCUAAGCCAAAAUGGGCUCAGGACAUAUUUGGCUCCUCUUGUAACUUUCCAUACUCUUCCUGCAUCAUGGCAACCAGCUCCAUGACUUCCCUACUCCUGGUGAGCCCGGAGUCCUGCACAUGGAUCUAGACCUGUGUUUUCAUCUACCCAUGGAGCAGCUUCCACCUGGAUCUCCCACGAGCACCACACCCUCAUCCUGGUCAUUUUCACCCCGAAGUCCAACUUUCCUCCUGCGAUGCCUCCAUCACACCCCUUUGCCCAAACCAGGAACCUUGGGACUCAUUCUGAGCUCCUCUCCUGGCAACCAGCUGAGCACCGGGUCCCAUGGCUCCUAUUCUUAGAAACACCUCCUAGAGCCCCAGGCCACUCACCAGCCUAAAAGUUUUGCAGGAUAAAAUCUAAA